rnacentral:sRNA from 2 species
ACUAUAAAUUAGCCGAAUGCAUACGCAGCGGAGGAUGCAUCUUUGGGGUGAAGCACAUCUGUGCAGGGAUUCCUCUUCCCGAACCCGUCAACUAACUUCGCAGGCUAUUAGGAGGAAAAAC